UGGGGAAUAUUGCACAAUGGAGGGAACUCUGAUGCAGCGACGCCGCGUGAGUGAUGAAGGAAUUCGUUUCGUAAAACUCUGUUCUAUGGGAAGAAAAGGACUGUACCAUAGGAGAAAGCUCCGGCUAAAUACGUGCCAGCAGCCGCGGUAAUACGUAUGGAGCGAGCGUUGUCCGGAAUUAUUGGGCGUAAAGGGUGCGCAGGCGGCUUUACAAGUUGGAUGUGAAAUAUUGUGGCUCAACCACAAACGUGCAUCCAAAACUGCAAAGCUUGGGUUAAGGAGAGGUAAGUGGAAUUCCUGGUGUAGCGGUAGAAUGCGUAGAUAUCAGGGGGAAUACCGGUGGCGAAGGCGACUUACUGGACUUAAACUGACGCUCAGGCGCGAAAGCGUGGGGAGCAAACAGG
rnacentral:rRNA from 1 species